rnacentral:lncRNA from 1 species
UUUUGAGUUUGGAAAAACACCUGGAGAGCACCCUGUCAAGGAGUUUGAGAUGCCAUCCAGCUGGUCCUGGUGCUUGUCCUUGGUGUAGCCACUUAGGGAUCUCUAGGGUCACAGAGGGGCCACAGGCCUACUCAGACACCUGGGGUGGUUCUGGUUGGAGUUCAUUUAACAAUGUCUAUGAAGGACGUACUGUGUGCAGGGCAUCUGGACACACUAAGUGUCACUCAAUAAAUGAAGCAGACAGCCUCACUGGGCCUCCUCUCUAAUCUGAGAGUCAGUCACGCUUGACAUCAUUCCUAGGUCCCAUCUACCCUCCAUCCCGGCCGAUGCCCUCAUCCCCUUUGGGACACAUGGAGGCAGCUUGGCCCAUUGUGUGCAGGAUGCUGGAGGACAGCACCACCUCCCAAAUGCUAUUUCCUGCUGGGAACCUGGCUGGGCCAAGGGCAGGAUUGCAGGGAGCCCCUACAGUUUCCAUGCUGGACCCUGCAGCUGGCCACUCUGCACGUCAGCUUUGGUGGCUUACAUGUGGAGGGCCAUACCUACCUUCUGCCAGGCCACCUGGAGCACCUCAAGGCCAUUGAGGCCAAACAGAAAGAGCCAGCUCCAAAGCUCCUGCCACAUCCAGAGGCAGAGCCAGAGCCAGAACCAGCCCCUGUGCUAGAGUCAUCUCCAGCUCCAGCCCCACCACCCGUGGCAGAGCUGGAGCCAGCGUCACCUGCAUCGGACCCUACAGGGCUGGAGGAAGGGCCACCAUUAACUUCAUCCCCAGUGCCAGCUCCUGAACUAAAGCCCACUGGACCCUGGGCCGUGACCGCCGAAAACCAGCUGAGGGAGGAGAAGCUGAACAUCUUGGACUUCCCUCCCCGGCUCGUGGCAGAGCAGCUGACAAGGAUGGAGGCGGAGCUGUUCAAGAAAUUGGUGCCUGCCCACUGCCUGGGCUCCAUCUGGUCCCAGCGAGACAGCAGGGACCACAAGUACCUGGCACCCACCAUCCGUGACACUGUGGCACACACGAACACCUUGGCCAACAGUGUCAUCGCUACGUGCCUCGGGGCCCUGGGCAUGACAGCGCAGGACAGGGCCAGGAUGGUGGAGCUGUGGAUUCAUGUGGCCAAGGGAGAGAUCCUACACCUUUAAGAAGUGGUGCAGGGGACAGCAGCAUGUGAGCAAGAGACUGUUCCUGAAGGGUGUCAUCCCCUCCCUCAAGAUGAUCUUCAGUUACCUGGAGCUGCUGCAUGAUGAGACAGAUUAUUAUGUGGAGGGGAAUGUGCUCAGCUGUCGGAAUGAGGAAUUCAAAUUCAUCAAGGACAUCGAGAUGGUCCAGAAGGCUGCAAAUCUGUACACCGUGCAGCCCAAUGAGCAUUUUGGUGCCUGGUUCCAGGCUGUGGAGCCCCUGAGUGAGGAGGCGAGCUACAGCCUGUCCUGUCAGCUGGAGCCACAAUACCAGUGGGCCAGAAAGAUUCGACUCUUCUUCAAAGACAAGAAGAGCCACUCAUCUUCCCGCCCAGGGCUGAACACCAGGCCCCCAAAAAAGAGCCCAGCGGUGGUGGCAGAUGACGCUCCUGAGACCAGCUGAACUACAGCAGGGACACUCAGGUACACAGGUCCACCUCUCAGAUGCUGAUGUGAAUGAAAACUUUGUGAUCCAUUUCCUGGGGUCCCUGAAGGCCACAAGGCAGUGGACAAUCUGCCCAUCUCCCUCACACAUUUUCCCCAG